AAAAAAUAUAAUAAAUCUCAGGCCGUAUGGUCAACGAUCAUAACUUGUUACCACAUGAAAGAUAAAUUAAAAAUGUCGUAAAACAUUGUAUCAAACUUUUUUUAUUAAAUUAUCAAAGUAUAAUUUCAUUAUUGAAGUAGAAUAUUUUAGAUUUUUUAGAUGGAUUCACCCUGCGGAUGCCGAGUGAAUCCAUCUAAAAAAUCUCGAUAUCUCAUCUUAAUUUAAAUUACAAUCUCAUAUUCGCCACUACCUCCGACAGUCGAAGGGUUAAUAACAAAGCAUGAACUAUUGCGAAUUUACAAGCAUUUUCAACCUUUAUUCUUAUCGAUAUUACAUGUUCGACUUGAUUAAAUAAGUAAUUUUAUUUGUAUAAAUAAUCAUAGCUUCGUACGUAGGUUCCGUUAUAAAUACCUUGCAAAUAUUACUUGCAAACGUUGAUUUUUUGCUCGGACAUAAUUUAAAAGAUCCAAUAUGCUUUUGUGUAAAAUUAUUUUAGCCGUUGCGAUGGUUGUAUUAGCAUGCGCUCAGAGGCCAUUUUACGCUGGUCGUCCACCGGUUUAUAAAGGCUGGGAUCGAAAGGAGUCGGACAUCCCUUUCAUUGACAGUGACCGAGACUCAGGACUGCUGCAGAAUAUUGCCAGUCUUCCUCAAGAUCAACAACCAUUUUGGUAUCUCAACAAGGAUGCAUAUAACGACCUGAGACAAAAUCCUCAAACCUACCCACUAAGGGAGAGCAUUUUUAAUCAAAAAUAAUAAUAAAUUUUGUAUGAC